GACGAACGCUGGCGGCGUGCUUAACACAUGCAAGUCGAACGGAAAGGCCCUGCUUUUGUGGGGUGCUCGAGUGGCGAACGGGUGAGUAACACGUGAGUAACCUGCCCUUGACUUUGGGAUAACUUCAGGAAACUGGGGCUAAUAUCGGAUAGGAGCUCCUGCUGCAUGGUGGGGGUUGGAAAGUUUCGGCGGUUGGGGAUGGACUCGCGGCUUACCAGCUUGUUGGUGGGGUAGUGGCUUACGAAGGCUUUGACGGGUAGCCGGCCUGAGAGGGUGAACGGGCACCAUGGGACUGAGGGACGGCGCAGAAUGCAACGUGAGGCAGUAGGGGGAAGCAUUACACAACGGGCGGACGCCUGAUACGGCAACGCUGCGUGCGUGAUGCCGUCCUUCUGGUUGUGAACCGCUUUCGCCUGUGACGAAGCGUGAGUGACGGUAAUGGAUAAAGAAGCACCGGCUAACUACGUG
rnacentral:rRNA from 1 species